AAAAGUUAUAGUUAUAGUUUAUUUAAGUGAAGCCUUUGAUCCAGAGAAGAAAAUGAUGUUAGGACCUACAGGGGAUCUGAUCCUCAGCCAUGCAGCCCGCCUCCUCUCCUUUCUCCUCCUCACCGUGGUCACUUGGAACCCUGUCCCAGCCUCCAUCUUCAUCACUACCAGCAUGUUGACUCUGGGGUGGGGCAUGCCUUUGUGACCUCGAGGCUGGACUACUGCAACUCACUCUAUUUUGGUCUCCAUUCUGCCCUCCUUCAUAGAUUGCAGACAGUCCAAAAUGCUGCAGCACGCAUUCUAACCAAAACUAGGAAGUUUGCCCACAUCACUCCCGUCCUAGCCGAUUUGCACUGGCUGCCUGUGAAAUACCGUAUCCAAUUUAAAAUUUUGCUGCUUACUUUUAAAAUCACUAACAAUACAGCACCGAGCUACCUUAAGGAACUCCUUAACUCAUAUGUUCCUGCCAGGGCUCUGAGAUCAUCUACUCAGUUACUAUUGGUGCAGCCUAGAUCUCGGCUGAAGUCUAGAGGUGACCGGGCGUUUGCCCUGGCUGCACCAGAGUUGUGGAACAACCUUCCGAUUGGGAUCCGGGCGUCUGAUUCUAUUCAAUCUUUUAAAUCACGGCUCAAAACGUAUUUGUUUAAUCUUGCCUUUUCUACCUGUUAAUGCUUGCAGUUGUUGCAUAGAUUUAUUCUUUUAAAUUUCCUACUCAUUCUUUGACUGGUGUUUUAUUAUGCUUUUAUUUGUGCUGUGUAUGUUAUAUUACCAUUGUGUAUUUGUGGCAUUUUCCUGUGAACAUAAUCUCACACUUUUAUUAAGGCCUUAUAAUACUUGUGUUAUUUCCUUGCUCUUUGUUAAGCACUUUGGUAUACCGUUGGUUUUUAAAUGUGCUCUAUAAAUAAAGAUUGUUGUUGUUGUUGUUGUUGUUGUUGUGCAAAAUCCUGCCACUGCUGAGAUUCCUUCUGCUAUGAUGGGUCAUUGGAGUCUAAGUGCCUAACAGUUACAUUUAUUUCUGUAUCUCAAUAAAUCAUGUUCGUUUUUUCCACAUGAUCUUUCCUUAUUGAACUGUUUUUGUAGAUAAGCUUCAAGCCAGCAAGCAACAAUACCUAAACCAAAAAUAUUAUCACCAGAAGUGAGAAAGUGUCUGGACUAUCUCCAGCUGUGUUGCAUGUAUUAAAGAUAACUUCAGACACUGUCUGGUUGUCAUGUCUGAAACAGGCUGUACAGUCACACAGAUAAAAGACAUCAGUCAUGUUUCUAAUGAUAUAAAUCAACCAGAAAGAUUAUAAAGACAAAAGCUGUGAGACGCCACUAGAGAAAGGAUGGCUUGUUAUCAUUACAUGAAGUGAUUUAGAAUUAAUAUGUAAGCUUUCAGGGCAGCACUCACAACUUUUUAAAACUGAUUACCUGAUGGUAAGCUUACACAGAUAUAUAAACAUACAGGUGAACUCUAAGAGGUUAUAAAGAAGAGAGCUGUGCUUUUACAGAACACAAUUUAUUUACAUUUUAUAUUUACAAUCAGUUUUUAUUUAUAUAAACAAAAUAAACAUUACGAAACUAGAACAAAACUAUAAACUGUUAUAAACCUGUUUCAGGUCCAUGUGGCAGAACCUGCAGAGGCGGCCUGUUUGUUGGGUUUCUGGCCUUUUCCUCUUUUUCUCCAUCCUUUCCUCUGACCUCUUCCUGGUAGCAUCCAGAUCCCUUUGGAAAAAUUCUGUCUGGGCAAAUUCCUCAAAGGGCAUUUUCGGGUUACUGAUUCCCUCAGCAGCAUAAGUUUGAUGCACCUUGUUGGAACAAUAGAAAUAGAGCACAGGCCCUCUCUGGUAAAAAUAGUGGACGGUGGA